rnacentral:lncRNA from 1 species
GAUAUGCUAUCAUGAUUGAUCUAUAAGUCUCCAAGCAAGAGUAAAGUAAAAUUGGGGAUAUGUUAUCAUGAUUGAUCUAUAAGUCUUCAAACCGUGUGAUAGCUUGAUUGACCAAUGAAGGGAUCAUUAAGUAUAGAAUAGUGAAAUUCACAAUGGACAUUGCAGGGUAUUUGAUAAAGAGACAUGGGCUUAUGAGUAAUAUAUUGGUCUCAUUAUUGGAAGCUUGCAAAUCAUAGGAUACCCUAUUAUCAAUCAAAGAAUAAGCAUUUGUUAAAGAUUUCAAAUGGAAAUUCAUUUGUUGAUGUCAAAAGCAAAUCUAUACUCAAUGUGGCAAGAAUAGGUGAAGAAAUCAAGUGAGAUACUAGAGCGAGGGACUAAGCAAGCUUUGGUUAAGCGAUGGCUUGAUAAAGUGGCUAGUAUUGGGGGGUUUCGAAGUAUCAUAUCUAAGCCUUGCCGAGGGAAGCAAAAGAUGGGAUGCUCAUGUUUACUUAAAAUUGUGUUGAUGUAAGUUUAUAUAUUUUUAUGAUAUGCUUCGUUGUUAAUAUUUGUUUUUAAAAUCUAAGAUAACUGAUGUGAUGAAUAAAGUUGCGCACUAUAUGGUCAGUCUUAAUUAAUCACAAUAGUAGUUAAAAGCUUUUUAUCAACAAAAGAACCGACCAGACUCAAGGAUUAUAUAGCAGUCCAGAUCCCUUCCGUUCAUUCCUUCAUCCUAUUCCCCAUGCAGAAGAACUGUAUAGGUCCUUUUAUGGGUUGGAUCGUGACAAAUCCCAACAUUACACGUGAAACAUAUGAGUAGUAGCACUUAAUCUAACCACUAGGUAUUGCUGGAAAGUUCAAUAAGAAGAUUUUAUUCUAGGCAUACAUAAACAUAACCUAUACAUUCUUUUAGAACCAUAUUUCCUCCUCUUCAGGAAAAGGAAUGGUCAGUUUCUUGCCAAAAUGGCACCUCAACUUCCUUAUGGAUUUGACACUUACUUACAUCAAGUGGAUCUUUCACUUCUUUUCUUUAUUUUCCUUGUCUCGCUUUACUGUUGCUAGCAUUGUUAACCAUGGGAUCAACAUAGUGGCUUCUUCAUGGUCAAGACAGCCCAACACAAGUAUUUAUGGCCUCGGAAGGUAACCCUUCAAGAGGGGAACAGAAUGUGGCUUAAAGCAUUUCAAUGCAUUUCAUUCGAAAAAUCAACCCGUUUACAAGACCCUUGGAACCGGAUAUAUAUAGACAUAGGGGAGGUCUCAUUUUACUGUUGUAUCCCUAUUAUGGAAGGUACUGUGGGGUACACUUUAGCCUAUCUUAGUAGUCUCAUUGGUCUUUUCACUUCCGGCUUGGGCUCCAAACUUUUUGGGCUCGACUUUUAAGAAUACCUGUCCGGCACGUGGCCUUGGCUUCACUUCUUCAUUUUCUCCCAUCCCUAUUCGAUGUCUAAAGGCCUGGUCCCUCCGACCAUGGGGUUGGUAGGC